rnacentral:rRNA from 1 species
AGUGAACGCUGGCGGUAUGCCUAACACAUGCAAGUCGAACGGCAGCACAGUAAGAGCUUGCUCUUACGGGUGGAGAGUGGCGGACGGGUGAGGAAUAUAUCGGAAUCUACUUUUUCGUGGGGGAUAACGUAGGGAAACUUACGCUAAUAUCGCAUACGACCUACGGGUGAAAGCAGGGGAUCUUCUGACCUUGCGCGAUUGAAUGAGCCGAUGUCGGAUUAGCUAGUUGGCGGGGUAAAGGCCCACCAAGGCGACGAUCCGUAGCUGGUCUGAGAGGAUGAUAAGCCACACUGGAACUGAGACACGGUCCAGACUCCUACGGGAGGCAGCAGUGGGGAAUAUUGGACAAUGGGCGCAAGCCUGAUCCAGCCAUACCGCGUGGGUGAAGAAGGCCUUCGGGUUGUAAAGCCCUUUUGUUGGGAAAGAAAAGCAUCAGGUUAAUACCCCGCUGUUCUGACGGUACCGUAAGAAUAAGCACCGGCUAACUUCGUG